rnacentral:rRNA from 1 species
GACGAACGCUGGCGGCGUGCUUAACACAUGCAAGUCGAACGAAGUGGCGAACGGGUGAGUAAAGCGUAAUCAACCUGCCCUUCAGAGGGGGAGAACAGUUGGAAACGACUGCUAAUACCGCAUACUGAAGGAGGGGCUUGCGUCUGAUUAGCUGGUUGGGGGGGUAACGGCCCACCAAGGCGAAAAUCAGUAGCCGGACUGGAGGGAGGAACGGCCACAUUGGGACGGGAACACGGCCCAGACUCCUACGGGAGGCAGCAGUGGGGAAUCUUCCGCAAUGGACGAAAGUCUGACGGAGCAACGCCGCGUGAGUGAUGACGGCCUUCGGGUUGUAAAGCUCUGUUAAUCGGGACGCGGUACCGGAAUAGAAAGCCACGGCUAACUACGUGCCAGCAGCCGCGGUAAUAC